rnacentral:rRNA from 1 species
GACGAACGCUGGCGGCGUGCUUAACACAUGCAAGUCGAACGGAAAGGCCCUGCUUUUGUGGGGUGCUCGAGUGGCGAACGGGUGAGUAACACGUGAGUAACCUGCCCUUGACUUUGGGAUAACUUCAGGAAACUGGGGCUAAUACCGGAUAGGAGCUCCUGCUGCAUGGUGGGGGUUGGAAAGUUUCGGCGGUUGGGGAUGGACUCGCGGCUUAUCAGCUUGUUGGUGGGGUAGUGGCUUACCAAGGCUUUGACGGGUAGCCGGCCUGAGAGGGUGACCGGCCACAUUGGGACUGAGAUACGGCCCAGACUCCUACGGGAGGCAGCAGUGGGGAAUAUUGCACAAUGGGCGGAAGCCGGAUGCAGCAACGCCGGGUGCGGGAGGACGGCCUUCGGGUUGUAAACCGCUUUCGCCUGUGACGAAGCGUGAGUGACGGGAAUGGGGAAAGAAGCACCGGAGAACUACGU